rnacentral:rRNA from 1 species
UUUUUUGUCCGCCAUCAAAUCUCAGGGCUCAACCCUGGAUAGGCGAUCGAAUCUACCAAGAUGGAGUAUGGUAGGGAUAGAGGGAAUUUCUAGUGGAGUAGUGAAAUGCGUAGAGAUUGGAAAGAACACGAACAGCGAAAGUACUCUGCUAGGCCGACACUGACA